GGUAUGGCCAUGACUCUUGAAAUACUACCACAACUAUGAGGCACAACAUUGUGAUUUUCUGCUUGGUUUCUGAAAAGAAGAGAUAAGAACAAUCUUUGAAACCAGUACCAGUCACUGCAAUACCUGCACCAUCUUUUAAAGUGGGAAUUGCCUGGGGUGACAAAUUGAAUCCUGAAUCUUUGCACCUGACGCCACAAGAGCCUAUAAAUUAAUCAUGG